rnacentral:lncRNA from 1 species
CCCAUUCGAUGGGGUCUCCUAUGGCGGUAGGGGUGCCGCUGCAAUUAUAUCCCAUGCAGAUGAAGUAGCGAAAUGACUUAAUUGUAAAAGUUCCAUUAUAAAAUUUAUCAUGAAUGUGUUAGAUUAGAUCUAAAGGAAUAUUCAUGAUUUAUUUUGAUUGAGUUAUUUUCUGUGUAAUUAGCAAUAGGAUUGCUAUUUGUGAAAUAUGCUGAUCUAUUUGUGAAAUGAAUCAACAUAUUUAGUGAACAGAAAAUAAAAUCUUUCAAAUUUGAAAAUUAUUUCGAAAUGCCAAAUUCUGACCCAUCAGCCCAAAUAUUUAAUUAAAAGAAUUAAGUGUUGUCAAGUUUGUCUAGAAUUGUGAAUUAAGACCUAAGACAAUUGCAUAAACUUAUGGGUCAAUGGAUUAGAUGGAUUAGGUCCAUAAUUGGGUUAGACCUAAGGUUAGCUUAAAGAAAUGGACUAAAUUAGAGUAAUUGGUCAAAUCUAAUCAAAAGUUGAAUUAGAUUAGGUCAAGGACACUCUAGACUCAACUCCAAUAGUUGUAGUUGAAUGGGUCCAUGUCUUUAACUAGACCAAGAUGGACUUAAUUCAUGGCUACGCGGUG